rnacentral:rRNA from 1 species
AGGGAAUCUUCCGCAAUGGACGAAAGUCUGACGGAGCAACGCCGCGUGAGUGAUGAAGGUUUUCGGAUCGUAAAGCUCUGUUGCCAGGGAAGAACGUCCUGUAGAGUAACUGCUACAGGAGUGACGGUACCUGAGAAGAAAGCCCCGGCUAACUACGUGCCAGCAGCCGCGGUAAUACGUAGGGGGCAAGCGUUGUCCGGAAUUAUUGGGCGUAAAGCGCGCGCAGGCGGCUGUUUAAGUCUGGUGUUUGAUCCUGGGGCUCAACCCCGGGUCGCACUGGAAACUGGGCAGCUUGAGUGCAGAAGAGGAGAGUGGAAUUCCACGUGUAGCGGUGAAAUGCGUAGAGAUGUGGAGGAGCACCAGUGGCGAAGGCGACUCUCUGGGCUGUAACUGACGCUGAGGCGCGAAAGCGUGGGGAGCAAAC